ACGCAUAGAGGAGGAGGACUAUAUAAGGAGACCCCCUGGCCCCUGGAGAAGACAUGAAGAAAUUAUCAUAGAGAUUGGGGGGUGCCCUCGAAGGAAAACCUCUUCUCUAAUUAAUAUUUCUUUUUAGGCUUAGCAACCAAUGUAAAGUAGAAAUGGAUCUUCUAGUUUCUACUAGAUUGAGAGAGAUAGAGUGGAGGUGU
rnacentral:lncRNA from 1 species